AGCGAACGCUGGCGGCAGGCCUAACACAUGCAAGUCGAACGAACCCUUCGGGGUUAGUGGCGGACGGGUGAGUAACACGUGGGAACGUGCCUUUAGGUUCGGAAUAACUCAGGGAAACUUGUGCUAAUACCGAAUGUGCCCUUCGGGGGAAAGAUUUCUCGCCUUUAGAGCGGCCCGCGUCUGAUUAGCUAGUUGGUGAGGUAAUGGCUCACCAAGGCUACGAUCAGUAGCUGGUCUGGGAGGAUGACCAGCCACAUUGGGACUGAGACACGGCCCAAACUCCUACGGGAGGCAGCAGUGGGGAAUCUUGCGCAAUGGGCGAAAGCCUGACGCAGCCAUGCCGCGUGGAUGAUGAAGGUCUUAGGAUUGUAAAAUCCUUUCACCGGUGAAGAUAAUGACUGUAGCCGGAGAAGAAGCCCCGGCUAACUUCGUGCCAGCCGCCGCAGUAAUAC
rnacentral:rRNA from 1 species